CAUUAAAGUUGAUGAAGCAACUUUCAUACUUCUACUCCCGGACCUGUUCCUGUGACCCCCACCUCAUGCCCCAGAUGGGUGAUGUCUGAAGGGCUUUGACCAUACAGCUUCUGGAAAUGGCUCUUGAAUCUCCUGCAGUAGGUCCUUGAUUGGGCCCAGCUGAUUGGGAAGAGUCUUUAAAGCAAAACACAGCUGUGAUCUGGAGGAAGAACUGUGUAAUAAACCUGUGUCCUUGGACCCAGCCUGGCAGGACCUUCCCCGGAGGACACAGUCCCAGUAAUUCCCCAGCAGCGCUGCCUCCAGGAGUGAUUGCUAUUUACACCACAAUUUGUUAGAUCUUCUAGAGGAAUACCAGAUAGAUCCAGGGAUGAAUUUGGUUUGGGAAUUUAAGAUGCGUUGGAUCUAGUUUGCUGAAGUAGUUUUUUGGAGCCUGAAUUCCAAAGCUUCAGCAAAGUCUGCUUCCAUAUGGUGCCUCAGGGCAUACAAACACAUCAAUAUGGGAAGAUAAAACCUCCUGACAUUACAAAGCUGGUUGGUCAGAAGACAUGCUGACUGAUUGCUGAUGCUGGGCCCUGAUGCUCUCUGGGGCACAAGUGCUUGGACUGUAGAGGCACCUGUGUACACUGAUGCCCUGUCUGUGUCAGAAUUGCACCCAAACAUGGUCAUUCAGGAAGAUGGGCUGACAGAGCCCGAUGGCAGACAUAGUAAGCCUUUGUCUAGUGAGGAUCUCAGGGUUGGUGAAAGCACAUGAGAGAAAAGCAAAUCACAUCAACCGUGAUUUCUCUUCUCUGGGUUUGCAGCACUGAAAGGAGAUGUGGGGUGUAGGUAGGUUUCUCCAGCUUGUCUCCACAAAUG
ensembl:lncRNA